UGAACCGUUAUAACCGGCGAUACCCGAAUGGGGAAACCCAGUGUGACUCGUCACACUAUCAUUAACUGAAUCCAUAGGUUAAUGAGGCGAACCGGGGGAACUGAAACAUCUAAGUACCCCGAGGAAAAGAAAUCAACCGAGAUUCCCCCAGUAGCGGCGAGCGAACGGGGAGGAGCCCAGAGCCUGAAUCAGCAUGUGUGUUAGUGGAAGCGUCUGGAAAGGCGCGCGAUACAGGGUGACAGCCCCGUACACAAAAGCGCAUGUGCUGUGAGCUCGAUGAGUAGGGCGGGACACGUGGUAUCCUGUCUGAAUAUGGGGGGACCAUCCUCCAAGGCUAAAUACUCCUGACUGACCGAUAGUGAACCAGUACCGUGAGGGAAAGGCGAAAAGAACCCCGGCGAGGGGAGUGAAAAAGAACCUGAAACCGUGUACGUACAAGCAGUGGGAGCACCCUUUGGGUGUGACUGCGUACCUUUUGUAUAAUGGGUCAGCGACUUAUAUUCUGUAGCAAGGUUAACCGAAUAGGGGAGCCGGAGGGAAACCGAGUCUUAACCGGGCGUUAAGUUGCAGGGUAUAGACCCGAAACCCGGUGAUCUAGCCAUGGGCAGGUUGAAGGUUGGGUAACACUAACUGGAGGACCGAACCGACUAAUGUUGAAAAAUUAGCGGAUGACCUGUGGCUGGGGGUGAAAGGCCAAUCAAACCGGGAGAUAGCUGGUUCUCCCCGAAAGCUAUUUAGGUAGCGCCUCGUGAAUUCAUCUCCGGGGGUAGAGCACUGUUUCGGCUAGGGGGCCAUCCCGGCUUACCAACCCGAUGCAAACUGCGAAUACCGGAGAAUGUUAUCACGGGAGACACACGGCGGGUGCUAACGUCCGUCGUGAAGAGGGAAACAACCCAGACCGCCAGCUAAGGUCCCAAAGUCAUGGUUAAGUGGGAAACGAUGUGGGAAGGCCCAGACAGCCAGGAUGUUGGCUUAGAAGCAGCCAUCAUUUAAAGAAAGCGUAAUAGCUCACUGGUCGAGUCGGCCUGCGCGGAAGAUGUAACGGGGCUAAACCAUGCACCGAAGCUGCGGCAGCGACACUGUGUGUUGUUGGGUAGGGGAGCGUUCUGUAAGCCUGUGAAGGUGUGUCGUGAGGC
rnacentral:rRNA from 1 species